ensembl:snRNA U7 U7 small nuclear RNA
GGAAAUUAGCUCUUUGAGUAUUUCUCCAGUAGGUUUCCUGAAGGCGAAAGACCCCC